UGGGCAACCUGCCCCCGACCCUGGGAUAACCCCGGGAAACCGGAACUAAUACCGGAUACUCUCCUCUGACCACCUGGUCGGAUGAGGAAAGGUCCGCCGGUCGGGGAUGGGCCCGCGGCCUAUCAGCUUGUUGGUGGGGUAACGGCCUACCAAGGCAUCGACGGGUUAGCUGGUCUGAGAGGACGGCCAGCCACACUGGGACUGAGACACGGCCAGACUCCUACGGGAGGCA
rnacentral:rRNA from 1 species